AACCGGGGGAACUGAAACAUCUAAGUACCCCGAGGAAAAGAAAUCAACCGAGAUUCCGAAAGUAGCGGCGAGCGAAAUUGGACUAGCCCUUAAGCUUUACACGCGUUAGACGAACGGUCUGGAAAGUCCGACGAUACAGGGUGAUAGUCCCGUAGUUGACGACGUGUGUUCAGUGAAAUCGAGUAGGGCGGGACACGUGAUAUCCUGUCUGAAUAUGGGGGGACCAUCCUCCAAGGCUAAAUACUACUGACUGACCGAUAGUGAACCAGUACCGU
rnacentral:rRNA from 1 species